rnacentral:rRNA from 1 species
UACGUAGGGUGCGAGCGUUAAUCGGAAUUACUGGGCGUAAAGGGUGCGCAGGCGGCGUCGCAAGUCAGGCGUGAAAUCCCCGGGCUUAACCUGGGAACUGCACUUGAAACUACGAUGCUGGAGUAUGGCAGAGGGAGGUGGAAUUCCACGUGUAGCGGUGAAAUGCGUAGAGAUGUGGAGGAACACCGAUGGCGAAGGCAGCCUCCUGGGCCAAUACUGACGCUGAUGCGCGAAAGCUAGGGGAGCAAACGGG